rnacentral:rRNA from 1 species
UACGUAGGGUGCGAGCGUUGUCCGGAAUUAUUGGGCGUAAAGGGCUCGUAGGCGGUUUGUCGCGUCGGGAGUGAAAACACACAGCUUAACUGUGUGCUUGCUUCCGAUACGGACAGACUAGAGGUAUGCAGGGGAGAACGGAAUUCCUGGUGUAGCGGUGAAAUGCGCAGAUAUCAGGAGGAACACCGGUGGCGAAGGCGGUUCUCUGGGCAUUACCUGACGCUGAGGAGCGAAAGUGUGGGGAGCGAACAGG